rnacentral:rRNA from 1 species
AGAGUUUGAUCCUGGCUCAGGACGAACGCUGGCGGCGCGCCUAACACAUGCAAGUCGAACGAGAGAUGAGGAGCUUGCUCUUCAAAUCGAGUGGCGAACGGGUGAGUAACGCGUGAGGAACCUGCCUCAAAGAGGGGGACAACAGUUGGAAACGACUGCUAAUACCGCAUAAGCCCACGGCUCGGCAUCGAGCAGAGGGAAAAGGAGCAAUCCGCUUUGAGAUGGCCUCGCGUCCGAUUAGCUAGUUGGUGAGGUAACGGCCCACCAAGGCGACGAUCGGUAGCCGGACUGAGAGGUUGAACGGCCACAUUGGGACUGAGACACGGCCCAGACUCCUACGGGAGGCAGCAGUGGGGAAUAUUGCACAAUGGGGGAAACCCUGAUGCAGCGACGCCGCGUGGAGGAAGAAGGUCUUCGGAUUGUAAACUCCUGUUGUUGAGGAAGAUAAUGACGGUACUCAACAAGGAAGUGACGGCUAACUACGUGCCAGCAGCCGCGGUAAAACGUAGGUCACAAGCGUUGUCCGGAAUUACUGGGUGUAAAGGGAGCGCAGGCGGGAGAACAAGUUGGAAGUGAAAUCCAUGGGCUCAACCCAUGAACUGCUUUCAAAACUGUUUUUCUUGAGUAGUGCAGAGGUAGGCGGAAUUCCCGGUGUAGCGGUGGAAUGCGUAGAUAUCGGGAGGAACACCAGUGGCGAAGGCGGCCUACUGGGCACCAACUGACGCUGAGGCUCGAAAGUGUGGGUAGCAAACAGGAUUAGAUACCCUGGUAGUCCACACCGUAAACGAUGAUUACUAGGUGUUGGAGGAUUGACCCCUUCAGUGCCGCAGUUAACACAAUAAGUAAUCCACCUGGGGAGUACGACCGCAAGGUUGAAACUCAAAGGAAUUGACGGGGGCCCGCACAAGCAGUGGAGUAUGUGGUUUAAUUCGAAGCAACGCGAAGAACCUUACCAGGUCUUGACAUCCGAUGCAUAGUGCAGAGAUGCAUGAAGUCCUUCGGGACAUCGAGACAGGUGGUGCAUGGUUGUCGUCAGCUCGUGUCGUGAGAUGUUGGGUUAAGUCCCGCAACGAGCGCAACCCUUAUGGUCAGUUACUACGCAAGAGGACUCUGGCCAGACUGCCGUUGACAAAACGGAGGAAGGUGGGGAUGACGUCAAAUCAUCAUGCCCUUUAUGACUUGGGCUACACACGUACUACAAUGGCGUUAAACAAAGAGAAGCAAGACCGCGAGGUGGAGCAAAACUCAGAAACAACGUCCCAGUUCGGACUGCAGGCUGCAACUCGCCUGCACGAAGUCGGAAUUGCUAGUAAUCGCAGAUCAGUCCGUAAAUUGCUUUUUUUCGUUACUGUAAAAGUUCUU